CAUAUUACGGGAGUAACGGUCUCAUAACCCCGUUGCCAGAACCUAAGUACUAUAGACUAGAGUGCGUACGUAUUUUGAAGAAUACUAUUUUGUUAUUUAUUUUCAUAUUUCAGAUGGAUUCAAAAAUAAUGUUUGUUACUUUGCUGGUGACUUUGAUAUUAUUGCCAGAUGUCUCAGAGUAUGUUGCAGCUUACUAUGGACAUAGACAUGGCUACUACGGCUACAGUCGCAGAGAAAAAAGAUCAACAGCUGAAGAUGAGAUUCGCAUUGACGACUUUAUUGAAGAAAAUCUCAAUGACUUGUAUGAACCGAACAAUGAAUAACAGAUGAGGUCGAAGUUGGGGAAUAAGUCUUUGUUAUAUAUAUUAGGUUGGAAAUAUAUCGUAGAAAUUAUUCAGAAACCCUGCUCUAGCUAUAAAACAAAUACAUAUUAUAACAAUACUGAAAAAUAG